CGUGUCUAUACUGAAGGAUACUUUUUGAACACACAAGACAAAAAUCAGUAAGAACAAUCCUUUCACAGUGAUAGCAAUUCUACCAGACGAAUGAAGGUCAUUGGCUACAACUUCUAUGUGCUGAGAUCCUUUGCAUAUUUUGUAGCAUUUGAAAAAAGUUCUUGCAGAAGAAUAUCCAUAUAUCAUAAACUAUGUUACUAUCAUCCCUAUAUUAGUAAAUGGAAAUUACAGAUGCUCUUAAAAAACCUUUCUAAAACUAAAAACAUAUGUCAAAAAUGCUUUGUAGAACAAAUGGAACUACUGUCAUUGUCAUGGCCAUUGAAUUCUUCCCACUGCACUAAGUAAGCAAAUAUUUUCACUUAACCUAUCUGACUUAAUUUUUUUCAGAAUAAUACAUUGGAUAAAUGUUAGAUAGAAUGACCUACAUUUUAGACAUUAAUUUUAUAGUUGCUUUGCCUUCGUGGAUAUCUAUGCACUACUUCAGAAGACAGAUCCUGAGCCAUAGAUGCUUAUGAACUUCUAUGAUGGUGCUAAGAACGCAAUACAGGCACUCUGAAAUAGCAUCCAGAGCUCUUAACCAGAAAGCCAUCUUUCCAGCCACAAAAUGUUGUUGGGUUUUCUUUGUCUUGUUAUGUAUAAAAUCAUAUACUUUAUAGACCCUGUGACUCUAAAAAAAUCUGUACCAAUCUUUUACAUGGCAAAAUGUUGGAUGUUUACCCUCAUGGCUGGCUGAUUGUAAGCUGUAGACCAAUAACACACUAUUGUAUCAUUUAUUCUUACCCUGAAAAAAAAGAGAAAAAUAAAAUAAAACUUUAAAUUAGAAUUUCUAGUUACUUCACAUAGCUUCUAUACUAUUACAAACUUUAAAAUACAUAUUUAAAUGAAAUCAUUUGAAGCCAAAAGCUGUCUGCAAAUUCAAAGCCACAUAUUUAUCCUGCUUCUUCAGUAAACACACAUGAGGUUUUCUAAUUUUCAUGAAUCAUACAUUAUUAUUUCAAAAAGAACUGCAGCAGGGGACAAAAUAGAGUUUAAUAAUCUACAAUAAUAUUGUGCAGCUGAUUUUUACAUGACUACUUUACCACAUUCCUUUUGCAGAUUUCCUUUUUCCUUCCAUUUUUUUGUGUUGUUCCUUUUACUCUUAAAGUACAUUGUUUUCUUUUUUAAAGGCAGUCUAUAUAGACUUAUUUCAUUUCACAAAGAGUUAGCUUUUGACUCUGAACUUCAUGGAGGUAUUUUUGUUGUCAGUUCCAUAAACUUUAAGCAGUACAUCUGCUUUCAUGCUAUAAAUCCUGAGACUAAAUCACAGUUUUUCUCCCAAGUGGGAUGAAUGGAUUUGAAUUGGACACCAGAAAAGAAGGACUGCUGUGCUAUUUGUUACAGCCUGCCAACUUCGUUCAAUUGAAGCAACAGGGAUGUGUUGAAAACCAGGCUGUUUCCAUAAGGUCAUUAUAAAGCCUGCUCUUGGAAUUACCAGUGGAAAAUUUCAAAGAAUCUUCCCACAGAGCAUCGAUGUGUCUGUAUAGCCAAAGAAGCAAUCUUCUAUGUGUUCACAACUAAGCAUAGCAAGACUGGUAUCCAAAGGGAGCUUUGGAAUCUCUGCCCUUAGUGUGCUGGUUAUAAAGUUUGGCAGAGUUGUUUACUCUAUUACUUACUGGAAAAGGUCCAAAAGGAAUGUUUUGUUUGUUGUUUUAUGAUAAUUCAUAUUUGUCCAUUGAAAUCAGCCAAUUUUCAUUUAAAAAUGUGUAGUCACAGAGCAGCCAUGAGAGCAGCCUUGAGUUCCUUCUUAAAAAUUGAUUUAGGUGGUUGUUUAAAAUCAUGUAUGGAAGUUUUACUCAGUGUGGUACCAAUACAAUAAACACUGUCUCCUCCAUACUUCCUCCAUACUUAUUGACACUGCUUUGUCCCAAAAACUAAAACAAUCACAACAUAAAUUCAUAAUAUAAGCCAAGAGUUUAAUAAUCUACAAUAAACCAAAAGGCUACUGAGUGAGUGUGCUCUCGUGAGUGUGCAUUCUGUUUCAUCCAAGGACUUCAAGUUCUCUAACUCACUGAAACGGCAUUACUUCUUAUUUUAGAUAUGUACUAGAUACAAGGAGAACCUAAUCCAUAAUCACAGGUCACAUCGUUGAGAAAUUAACUCAGGUCACUGUUCUUUGUAACUAAGCAAGCAGGGGAAAAAUGGCUAGUAGUGCAGUGAGCAGAUGGCUAACGUGGUCCCCUCCAUGUGACUCCAAACACAGAAGUCUGCUCAAGACUACAUGGUAAACAGUGUUUAUCAUAGUGAAAAUUCAAUAGAGAAAAAAAUUAUAUAUAUACAAGCAACCUAAUGACUUGUAAGUGGAGUGUCUUUAUUUGAAGUCUUCACUGUGCAGUUGUUGAAGUAUGAAGAGAGAAAGGGAAACAUCUAUAGACUCAGUGUAGAUGUCGUCAGUCCAUGCAACAGCAAAGAUACUGCUAAAGAAAGGUGGAGGUAACUUUUAAAUGUUUCAGAAAUGACAGCAACAAGAAAACCUCAUUCAAAAACAAAGUUCUAUUUUAAAAUGUGUUAUCUUCUUGCCAAGAUGAAUAUAAAAUCUACACUUUUAACAUUUUUUACAACUUCACAUUUUGUACCUCAGAUCUCAAGAGCUUACUUUAUCCCUCCUGACUCUAACUCCCUACCCAUUAAUUAACAAGUUUGGUUCCCUGAAUUCCAUUCUACUGUUUCAUUGUAUGAAUUUGAAUUUUAAAAUAUUUGACAUAAGCAGUGUUCUGUCUUUCUGUAAUUCCCUUAUUUUAGCCUCAUGUGAUAAAUGAACAUUGUUAUGUAUUUCAUUGUUUCCAUUCUUAGUUUUUGUACGUAUGUCUCAAUGCUUCUAUCUCAAAUUAUGAAAAAUUUCAAGAGUUCAGAAGAGUUGGGGGAAGAGAUACUGUGGUUGGGAUGUAUUGUGUGGAAAAAGAAAACAUUUUACUUAAAAAGUAAAAUAAAAUAACUGGAUUCCUUGAGUGUGGUGUCUGAACAUGGGUGCCAGUUGGGAGGCCUGGGCAGUUUAUAAAGCUGCUAGCAGUAGAACCAGUAUUUGUCCCUAGUGUAUGAACUGGUAUUUUGGGGCCCAUUAUCUAUGAAGGGAUACUCUCUUUGCCCAGAUACAGGGUGAAGGGUCUUGUUCCUGCCCCAAAGUGACACUUUGAUGAUCUCUCCAUGAGAGGCCUCACCCCCACUAAGGAGCAGAUGGGGGUGGGAUGGAGAGAUGGUGGGGCAAUUGGAUAACAGC